rnacentral:lncRNA from 1 species
GAGAGAGAGAGAGAGAGAGUCCGGCUAUGGUGCUUGUAAAAGCACAAAAUAUUUGGUGGUUGUAAAUUUUUUACCGUUAGAUUUACGCUUUUGAUCAUUUUUACCCGUUAAAUUAUACUAUUCAACCAACUAACCACUCAACUCUAGGGGGCCCACAUCAUCCUAACUACACAUUCCUUAAUCCAAGGACGGAAAACUUACAAGCACGAAAGACUUGGGUACUUCUAAAAACAUAUGAGCUCAAUUUUAU